UACGUAGGGUGCAAGCGUUGUCCGGAAUUAUUGGGCGUAAAGAGCUUGUAGGCGGUUUGUCGCGUCUGCUGUGAAAUUUCGGGGCUCAACCCCGAACUUGCAGUGGGUACGGGCAGACUAGAGUGUGGUAGGGGAGACUGGAAUUCCUGGUAUAGCGGUGAAAUGCGCAGAUAUCAGGAGGAACACCGAUGGCGAAGGCAGGUCUCUGGGCCACUACUGACGCUGAGAAGCGAAAGCAUGGGGAGCGAACAGG
rnacentral:rRNA from 1 species